rnacentral:rRNA from 1 species
GAUAAACGCUGGCGGCGUGCCUAAUACAUGCAAGUCGAGCGAACGGACGAGAAGCUUGCUUCUCUGAUGUUAGCGGCGGACGGGUGAGUAACACGUGGAUAACCUACCUAUAAGACUGGGAUAACUUCGGGAAACCGGAGCUAAUACCGGAUAAUAUUUUGAACCGCAUGGUUCAAAAGUGAAAGACGGUCUUGCUGUCACUUAUAGAUGGAUCCGCGCUGCAUUAGCUAGUUGGUAAGGUAACGGCUUACCAAGGCAACGAUGCAUAGCCGACCUGAGAGGGUGAUCGGCCACACUGGAACUGAGACACGGUCCAGACUCCUACGGGAGGCAGCAGUAGGGAAUCUUCCGCAAUGGGCGAAAGCCUGACGGAGCAACGCCGCGUGAGUGAUGAAGGUCUUCGGAUCGUAAAACUCUGUUAUUAGGGAAGAACAUAUGUGUAAGUAACUGUGCACAUCUUGACGGUACCUAAUCAGAAAGCCACGGCUAACUACGUGCCAGCAGCCGCGGUAAUACGUAGGUGGCAAGCGUUAUCCGGAAUUAUUGGGCGUAAAGCGCGCGUAGGCGGUUUUUUAAGUCUGAUGUGAAAGCCCACGGGCUCAUCCGUGGAGGGUCAUUGGAAACUGGAAAACUUGAGUGCAGAAGAGGAAAGUGGAAUUCCAUGUGUAGCGGUGAAAUGCGCAGAGAUAUGGAGGAACACCAGUGGCGAAGGCGACUUUCUGGUCUGUAACUGACGCUGAUGUGCGAAAGCGUGGGGAUCAAACAGGAUUAGAUACCCUGGUAGUCCACGCCGUAAACGAUGAGUGCUAAGUGUUAGGGGGUUUCCGCCCCUUAGUGCUGCAGCUAACGCAUUAAGCACUCCGCCUGGGGAGUACGACCGCAAGGUUGAAACUCAAAGGAAUUGACGGGGACCCGCACAAGCGGUGGAGCAUGUGGUUUAAUUCGAAGCAACGCGAAGAACCUUACCAAAUCUUGACAUCCUUUGACAACUCUAGAGAUAGAGCCUUCCCCUUCGGGGGACAAAGUGACAGGUGGUGCAUGGUUGUCGCCAGCUCGUGUCGUGAGAUGUUGGGUUAAGUCCCGCAACGAGCGCAACCCUUAAGCUUAGUUGCCAUCAUUAAGUUGGGCACUCUAAGUUGACUGCCGGUGACAAACCGGAGGAAGGUGGGGAUGACGUCAAAUCAUCAUGCCCCUUAUGAUUUGGGCUACACACGUGCUACAAUGGACAAUACAAAGGGCAGCGAAACCGCGAGGUCAAGCAAAUCCCAUAAAGUUGUUCUCAGUUCGGAUUGUAGUCUGCAACUCGACUACAUGAAGCUGGAAUCGCUAGUAAUCGUAGAUCAGCAUGCUACGGUGAAUACGUUCCCGGGUCU